UACGGGGGGGGUAAGCGUUGUUCGGAAUUACUGGGCGUAAAGGGCUCGUAGGCGGCCAACUAAGUCAUACGUGAAAUCCCUCAGCUUAACUGGGGAACUGCGUGUGAUACUGGAUGGCUUGGAUUUGGGAGAGGGAUGCGGAAUUCCAGGUGUAGCGGUGAAAUGCGUAGAUAUCUGGAGGAACACCGGUGGCGAAAGCGGCGUGCUGGACCGUCUUCUGACGCUGAGGCGCGAAAGCUAGGGGAGCAAACGGG
rnacentral:rRNA from 1 species